CCCUCCAUAGCUCAGCGGUAGAGCGUCUGGCUGUAGCCCGGAAGAUCCCAAGUUCGAAUCUUGGUGGGGGGA
rnacentral:tRNA from 1 species